UAAGGAAUAUUGCUCAAUGGCCGAAAGGCUGAAGCAGCAACGCCGCGUGGAGGAUGAAGGGCUUUUGCUCGUAAACUCCUGUAAGAGGGGAAAAAUAACUACAUUGGUAGUUUGAUGGUACCCUCAGAGUAAGCCCCGGCUAACUACGUGCCAGCAGCCGCGGUAAUACGUAGGGGGCAAGCGUUGUCCGGAUUUACUGGGUGUAAAGGGUGCUCAGGCGGAUUAGUAAGUCAGAGGUGAAACUCCGGGGCUCAACUCCGGAACUGCCUUUGAUACUGCUGAUCUUGAGUUUGGAAGAGGGUAAUGGAAUAUCUGGUGUAGCAGUGAAAUGCGUAGAUAUCAGAUAGAACACCAAUGGCGAAGGCAGUUACCUGGUCCAAUACUGACGCUAAAGCACGAAAGCGUGGGGAGCAAACAGG
rnacentral:rRNA from 1 species